CAGUACACAAAGUAAUUAAAAGUCUGUCAAAGCAAAAAUAAUCCCACGAUCCUUGAUGAUAUAACAAAAGAGAUAGGGAGGGAAAACUUGGGCAGAUAAAGGAAUGAACUGAAGUCAUAGAAUCAUAGAAUCAGAAUGUUUAAACUGAAAGGAACCACACCUUACUUCCUGGCAGGUGAAUGGAGUGAAGCUACAAGCUACCAGGGGAAAAUGAUUAGAUAUCCUUUUAGUAACUUCUGUGGCUAUUAUAGUAUGUGAUAUAUAGAACAGAUCUAUGAUGGUGAACCUAUGAAAUGGGUGCCAAAGAUGGCAUGCAGAGUGCCCUCUGUGGGCACCCAGCUGCCCUCUCUCUCUCCCCCUACCCAGAGUUCAUUACAAGAAAGUUUGAGGGACUUGGGCAGAGCUGCUCCCUUCCCCCCUCUCCAGCGUGCCUGACAUUUUUUUCACUUCACCCCCCCCCUUCCCAGCAGCCCACUGGGAGACCACAGAGGGCAAAGUGGGUGAUUCAUAGGCAGCAGAGAUGGAGGGGAGCAGAGCACUCUGGCCACUCCCCUCCCCCACUCUAUACUCCCUGAGGACAUUCCUCACUUUACCCCACCCCCUGCCCAGCAGCCCAAUUAGAGUGCUUUCUCUCUCCUGUGUGGGGUAAAGUUUGGGGUGGUGAGGCCUAGUACUUGGUGGUGGGGAGGAUCGUGGCACACAGUCUUGGGGGUGGUGGAUGUAGGCAGGUCCUGGCACUCUAUCUCUAAAAGGUUUGCCAUCACUACUACUGAUGGAUUAAUUUCAAAUCUAUAUGAGCUGUUCCUAAUUUCCUUGUCCAUAAGAUGAUGUGUUGAACUAGGUUUCUUUUUAAUCUCUCACCUUCCUUCUUAGUAUCAAUACUAAGUAUUGAUUUCAAGACACAAGAGUUGUAAGGACUAGGCAAAUGGGGUUAAGUGACUUGCCCAGGUCACACAGCUAGGAAGUAAACUGGAUCAUUUUAAAGAUCAAUUCCAUAUCUAGGAUCUAUGAACAUCCUCCUAAAAAAUCUUCAUAUUCUUUAGAUGAGAUGAAUCAAAUCACACUUAAAUUUCCAACCUUCCAAUCUGAAAAACCAAAUCCCUUUAUCUCUUAUAGGGCAUUUUCUAAGCAACCAGUCAAACAAAAAACCAGCCUCUGAUGUGUAGCAUUUGCAAUUUCCUUUGCAAAAUUCCAAGGUAUAAAUGUUCACAAUAAAUUUAACAAUUGGGUUGGGUCCAAGCCAGCUCUAGCAUACCCCUUCUACUCAUCCCAGAGAGGCUGCUAGUAUGUCAUAAAAGCGUUGGACAUGAAAUCAGGAGAAAUAAACUAAAUUCCAGCUUCCUAUACUUAUUUGGCCAUGGUAUCUUAGGCAAGCCAUUUAAGCCUAUUUUCUUAUGUAUAAAAGGGACAAAAUACUUGAGAGGAAGGGACCUUGGAGACCAUUUAGACCAAUCCCCUCAUUCUACAAAUUAAGAAAUUGAGGUAUAGACUUGUCAAAGAGAGUAAGCUGCAGAGGCAAAAUCUGAACUCAGGUCAUCUGCCUUCCCUUAUCCUGUAAACUGUAAGUACUUGUUAAACUGAUUAUAUUCAAGUAUACCAAGUGUUUUAGGGUCUACAAAGCAAAAUAGGCUUGAUCCUGCCAACCCCUGAAGCUAUCACUCUAUAUCUCUUCUCCUCUUUAUAGCUAAAUUCCUUAAAAAAGUAUUCUGAACUCAUUGUUGCUACUUCUUCACACCAUUCAUUUUUAAACUUGCUUCUGACUACCAUUUGAAUGAAAAUGGUCUCUUCAGUGUUAACAGCUUAUCCGUUAGGCUCUUUGCCUUUCAAUAUUCCUUCUUUAAAAACUGUCAGGUUUUGACCCUGUUAAACAGUGCCUCCUCCCUAGAACUUUGGCAUUAUAACUAUGAUGCUGCCCUCUUGUUAACCCUCUCUGAUAACGCCUCUUCACUUCCUCUGUUUCAUUAUUAUCCAUCUUCUAUCCUCUAAGUUUGGAUAACUCUCGAUACUCCAAACCGGACUUCCUCUUUUCUCUCUACACUUUCUGUCAGUGAUCAGCUUGAGUUCAAUUCUCAUUGCUCCAUUUAUGACUUUUACAUCUACAUAUCCCAUCUCCACCCCUCUUCUGAGUUCCACUCUCUUAGGUCUAACUGCCUGCUGGAUAUCACUGAUGGGAUAAGCAUCUGGUUGAUAUUCAGGAUGUCCAAAAAUGGAACUUCUUAUCUUCUCCCAUAAACCAGUUCCUUCCUCCUCAAAACAUCUUUAUAUUUAUGUUGAGGGUAUGUUUAAGAGUCAUUCUUGAUAUUUCCCAUGCGUACUUAUUUUUGUCUUACAUAUCCAUUUUGAGGCAAAAGAGCAAUAAGGGCUAGGCAGUUGGAGUUAAGUGACUUGCCCAGGGUCACACUGCUAGGGAAAGUCUAAGACCAGUUUUGAACCCAGGUCCUCCCAACUCCAGGCCUUAGCAUUCUAUCCACUUGCUACCUCGCUGCCCCUCUUUUCCACUUUCCCUCAUCAAUUGCCUCCUUCAUUUGUCCUAGUCUGACCAAUAAUAAAUAUACCACUAUCCUAGUUCAAAUUCUCAUCAUUUCUUGCUUGGACUUGCAAUAGGCUCUCAAUUAAUCUCCCUGUUUCAAGCCUCAUGCAUUGGCAUGAUCCAGUUGCCAAAAGAAUCCAAGAUUAGUAAUUGUAAAAAUCUACUCGUUACUCUCCAGAACAAGAAUUUUCAAUGUCUCUACUGUCCUUAAGAUCAAAAUAAAGUUACUGGCUGAGUAUGAAAAAGCCCACUGGUUCUCAUCUACCUUUUCAGACUUAUUUCUAAUUGCUGUCCCCUUUACGCAUUCUACAUUGCUGCUAAACUGGCCCACUUAACUUAGCAUUCCAUGUGCCACAUCAAUGCCUUCUCACUCUGCUCCACAUAAGCUAGAGCUUUCUCCAAGGCUCAAUUCAGUUGCCCUGUUUUCUGGAAGCCUUUUCUCAUGCCCUUAGUUAAUAAGGUAAAGCACUACAUCUCUCAGUUCUGGCAAUUGUUGCUGGCUGUCCUCCAUGUCUGCAAUACUCCCCUUCCUUGUCUCUGCCUCCUGCAUUCUCUGAUUUCCUUUAAGUCCCAGCUAAAAUCUCAUCAUCUACCGAAAGCCUUUCUCAACCCUUCUUUAUCCUAGUGUCUUUCCUCUCAAAUAUUUCCCUUUCCUGUUUAUCCUGUAUUUAGCUUCUUGCUUUGUACUUAUUUGUUUUCUUGUUGUUUAUCCCAUUAGAUUGUGAGCACUUUGAGGGGAGAGACCUUUGCCUCUUUUUGUACACUCCCCCCUCUCACUAAUGUCUAGAAACAUACUAAACACUUAAUAAAUAUGCAUUGACUUAUUUUCUGAUAGAGUCCUCUCCUUUCCAAAAUUAUUCUGUUUGCUUUUUGUUUUGUUCUGUUUUGUUUUUAAACCCUUACCCUCUUGCCCUAAUAACAACUCUAAGACAGAUGGAAAAGGGCUAGGCAAUCAGAGUGAAAUGACUUGCCCAGAGUCACAUAGCUAGGAAGUAUCUGAGGUCACAUUUGAACCCAGGUCCUCCUGACUCCAAGCUUGGAGCUCUGUCCACUGUGCACUGUCCACUUGUUACCUCCUACAUUUUCUUUUAAUAUGUUGCAUCUCUUGGUGGAAUGUAAGUUCCUAAAGAGCAGCAAUCAUUUUCUGUAUCUAUAGGAUUUAAUAACACUGUUUUAUACAUAAUAGAUACAAUGUUUGGUAUCGAAAUUAAUAACAAGUACCGUCUUUUUCUUUCUUCUUUUGAACUCAUUUACUUUUUCUUUGAUCCUUGGGAAUUUUGUCUGUUCUCUAUGGUUUCCUUGAGAUAAGGGUUAGUUAGUGUUUGAACACUACUCCAAAGUUAAUUCCAUUAGGUAUUACUGAUUUAAGUAAUAGUUAUUUUUAUAUAUAAUUUAUUCUAGGUUUGGCUUUUUAUUCUUUUAUUAAAAGUAGGACUCAUUUUAUACUAAAUUUAAGAGGGAACAAUGAAUAGGGGUAUAUUUAACAGCCCCCAUAGAUUAAAAAAACAACAACUAACCAUAUAAUAAUAGAAUCAGGAAAUAUGAUUAAAGAGCAGUUUACCAAGAAAAGAUCUGGACGAUUGUAGUAGACUGAAAAUUCAACAUGAAUCAACUGUAUGAUGUGGUUACAAAUAAAACCAGACAGAUCUUUGACUUUAUUAACAAAAAUACAAUGUCUAGAAGAGUGAAGCAAUAGCCUUUUUGGUAUUUGUGCUGAUCAAAUGUAUACAUAUGGAAUAUAGUUUUUAGUUAUAUGAGUUCCAUUUGAGAAGAGAAAUUGGCAAAAUGUAGUAAGUCCAGAGGAAGAAGACUAGGAUAGGGAGUGCAUCUGUCUCUGAAGCCACAUUAUGAAGAAUGGCUAAUGGGUAUAAUUAGCCUGGAAAACAAGAGGAAACUUGGAGGUGGUGAAUGGGGCAGAACAAGAUAACUCUCUUCCAAUAUUUGAAGAAUUGGAGCUCCAAGAAAGAUGAGACCUUCUUGGUCCCACAUAGGACAGCUACAAUCAGUGGGUGAAAGUUACAGUGCUCAACAUAAUUGACAAAUCCAUAAUAAUUAGAGAAAAAUGGUAGAAAUAGCCUUGGGAGGUACUGACGAUUUUCCUAUUAUUGGGAGAUCAUCCCAUGAAGGAGAAUAUUUGAGAGAGAAUUCAUGAUCCAGGUAAACAUAAGACCAGAUGACCUCUAACUUUCCCAUUAGCCCUCAGAGUCUAGUCAAUUCAGUAUUUGUUGAAAUAGUCAAAGUGAAUAUAUUAAAAAUUGUAGCUAUAAUCUAAUGGGGACAGCCAGGCAGCAUAGUAGAUAGAGUGCUGAGCCUGGAGUCAAGAUUCAUCUUUCUGAGUUCAAAUCUGGCCUCAGACACUUAUUGGUUGAAAGGAAAAUCACUUAACCCUGUUUGCCUCAGUUCCUCAUCUGUAAAAUGAGCUAGAGAAGGAAAUGGCAAACCAUUCCAGUGUCUAAGCCAAGAAAACUCCAAAUGGGUCACAAAGAGUUGGACAAAAAACAACUGAGAAACAAUCACCGGGGAAAGGUGGGAGGAAGAAAUAUCUUAUUUCCCUCUUUUGAAAGUGUAUGUAUGAGGGGGCAGCUGGGUAGCUCAGUGGAUUGAGAGCCAGCCCUAGAGAUGGGAGGUCCUAGGUUCAAAUUUGGCCUCAGAUACUUCCCAGCUGUGUGACCCUGGGCAAGUCACUUGACCCCCAUUGCCUAGCCCUUACCACUCUUCUGCCUUGGAGCUAAUACACAGUAUUGACUCACUCCAAGAUGGAAGGUAAGGGUUUAAAAAAAAAAGUAUAUAUAUGUAAUUUGGGAAGUUGCUUUUUGUGUAUUUCCUAUAUACACCUUCCUAAUUUUGGCCUAAUUUUCUUGUCCCAGGACUGGACAAUUUCUUUAUACUCCUUUUUUUCCCUCCUUGACCUUAGUUUUUGUAACUUUUCUAAUACCUUUUUGGUUUCUGAGGCAUCUUGGUUUCUUGUUACACUGCCUGGUCAAUUGUAUUGUGUUUUCAUAUGAGCCUUCAGGCCUCUUCUUUUUGAACCCCUCUAACUCAGUUCCCGUCACUGGCUCUUUCCUUACUAAAUGGUCUAUGUUUGUUUAAAAAUUUUGCUUUCCUCAAUUGUCUUUUCUCUAUCUCACUAACUUCUGACUUCCUUUCUCUUUGGAUCUUGAAUACUGUAUCCUGGAUCAUUUCUUCUCCAAUAGGAUGGACAACUGUCUUAGUUAAUUAUUCUAGUUUAGUACAAGGAAAUUGUCCUUUUUGUACCCCCAAAUUCUAUUUUGAUGUUGUGACCCAAGACCAGAUACUUGUGUAAAGCUAGUAAAUUUACCUAAUAUAUCUUGAGUCCAUUUGUGAAGAGGAAGCAGUCUGACAAAAUGGGAAGAAAUGAGCCUCAGAUGUGGCAUUCUGCAAGCUGUAGGUAGUGGGUGACUUGAAAGGUAGCAAAAAGUGAAGCGUGUUAGUGGAAUGCCCUAGGGGUAGCUAAGAGGUCUUGGGAGCAUGAAUCAAGCCCAUUACCCAAGGCUGCAACCAAGCCAAAACUAAAGAUAAUAUUGGCCCAGCUUCAAAUGGUUGUUUCUCUAGAGGCAAACGAACACAUCUUGGAGCAUUGUGACACCAUGAGGUUAAGUCAAAACAAGCUUUAUUGCAUUGUCAGCAGGGGAAAUCAUCUCCUACAGAUCACUGAGUUUCCAAGAGAUUUUACAAAGAUUCAUAAUCCCUGGGUUUCUGCUAUAUACACACUGAGUUUCAUGGAAAGUCAAUAACAUGAUGUGAUAAACAGUAGCUCAAGAGGCUCUUCAUUAAUAGGCCCACCUAGUCAGGUUCUUGAUCAGUCUCUGAUCUCAUGGAUCUGACUCUGAUCUAAUCAAUCAUUUAAUAAAUCCUUCCCAAUCCACCCAGGGGUUUGGGCGGGUGGGUACCUGUUGGAGGAAGACACAAAUUCUAAAGAGCAAGAGAUUUUACUUAUAGGAUUAGACUAACUUUCUCAAAGUGGGUCAGAGCACUCUAUAUUAUGAAGAGGAAGACCAAAGAGGAAAUGACCUACCUAUUGGCUCCCUUAGGAUGCCUGCUUAGCUUUGGGCCAGCUCCCCUAAGGUUGGUUUAUUUAGAUCAAGUAGCCCACCCCUUCCAACCUUAUUUCCUGUGAAUUCUAAGACUGUCCUACCAAUGAAUGCUAUUCAGGGACUCUCUGACUAACCUAAUAAUGGGAAUUCUCACUUAUCUUGUAGGGCCCCCUAACCCCAUGAUUUAAAGAGUCAACAAAAGACAAAACAAAACAAAAGGACUGGUCUCGAUAGGCAUAGUUGAAGACAGAAAAUGGGUUAGUAUUCUGGAGGGGUCAAUAGGGACAUUUCAUGUAUAAGGAAGGAAGGUGUCUCAUGCAGGAAUUCAAGAAGAGGGUCUAGGAUGGACAUAACCAAGCAACAGAAAGAACCAUGGUCGAAGGUGAAGAAACCUCAGCAGAGAAGUGGGGGACCCCUAUUCUCCAUGUCAUCUCCUAGAAGGCCAUCUCCAAAGCCAAUACGUGUGAAAUGAGCACCUUAAGAGAUCAGACUUAGUAAGAGGGCAGGUAAUAUCCAUGAAAUGAAGCAGCCCCAGGAAGCCGCCACCACCACCCUGUCCCCAUCACAACCACCUUUUGUUGUGGGGGGGUUUUCCCCCUGAAUGUCCCAGGUAGGAGGAGUUUAGUCACUAUCUGAGGGAAAGAAGAGACUUCAAAACAUAUUCUCUGGCUCUUGACAACCUGGGGCAGUUACUCUGGAUAACGCCCAAGCCUGGCAUAGGAGAUAUUCAGUGUGUGAAGGAUGGGAGAAGAAGGCAAGUGCCCUUGGUCUGGUGGUGAGUGCUAUAGGAGAACUGUCUUUGGCCUAGGUCCUUGUUUGGCAUGUGACAUUUAUUCUUGGACACAUCAAGUAUAGACAUAAGGCACAUAUUUGCAGAUAGGGCAGUUUGGUGAGCAGAGGUGAAUCUGCCUUUGCCACACAGUACUAAAUAAAGUAUAGGCCCCAAGGUGUGUUCUUGCCUUCCUAUCUGCUAACCACGAGACACUGGUUGGUCAGUAAUCAGUCUGUCAGAUUCCAUUGAAUAGGUAGCACAUAGCCUCCCGGAGCUACCCAAGGAGCACCUCUUCAGGAAGAAGUCCCACAUUCUGCUUGAUUCCCCAAAGCCCCCUUGGCUACAAGAGGCCAAAGGGGCCUCUGUCCUGUGAGAAGUAAGAGAAUUCUUGAAGCCACUGGUGCAGAGAGGAGGGAUGGAGAAGGGAGAGCUGCCAUGGGCCCCAGGAGACCAUCAGACUCCCAAAGGGUAGUUUAUCUCCCCCCCUGGGAACCCCAGGACCUGGCGCUGACUUACUUGCUGGUGGAUAUUGCUGUGUGUGGCUUCCUCUUCAAUACUGUCAGUGAACUCAGUGCUAGCAUCCUCAGUGUCCUCACCCACAGUUGUGCCUGGAAGAAAGGACCAAAAAGGUAACUGACCCCCCAAGUGGCAACUAAGCUCACAUUCCUCUUGUUGCUGGUCUCUGAUUGUCUGCCUCCUCCAUUCCCCACCUAAUACAAACCAUGUGGAGGGAAGAGGUGAAAAGUCACAUGUUCAGGCUGAUCUGCUGGAACUUUUGGUUCUCUUUAUUUACAUGGUCAUUGAGGACAUCAGGUGUGGAACUACUAAGUCAUGAAAAAAACAGGCCUGUCCUUGAACCUGGACUUGGCUGAAUAGAUAGAUGCUCAAAGGAUUAGACACUCACCAUUGGAGCAGCUGCUGACUAGGAGUCAGAAAACAUGAGUUUUCUUCCCAGCUCAGUAGUUGUCUCACUGUAAAACCUCACUUCUCCAUCAAUAAAAUGGGACCACACACUACCUACUUAUAACCACUUGGAAGAUUCCUUCUUUAGGCUUGGUUGAUGUAAAUGUUCUCCAACGUGGACCUAUCAACCCAAUUUCUCCUAUUUUUUCCACUUUCUUGGGAAUUUAGUCAUCUGAAGGAACGAUGCUCCAAAGAUAGUUAGCAAAAGCCACUCUUUCAAGACUCCUCCUCCAAGAACCUCAAUGAACUGAUGCAGAGUGAAAUGAGCAGAACCAGGAGAACACUGUACACAAAAAGCAAAACACUGUGGAAUGAUCCAAUGUAAUGGACUUUGCUACUAGAAGCAAUGCAACAAGCUAGGACAUCCCAGAAGGACUUAUGGGAAAGAAUGCUAACUACAUUGAGAGAAAGAACUAUGGGAGAAGAAAUGCAAAAGACAUCACUUAUCACAUGUAUAUAUGGGUAUGUAAUUUGGAGUUUAGGUUUUAAAAAAUCACACUAUAGCAAAAAUGAAUAAUAUGGGGAAAUAGGUAUCAAGUGACAACAUUUGUACAACCCAAUGGAAUUGCUUGUCAGCUCUGGGAGCCAGGGGGAAAGAAAAUGAAUCGUGUAAAUAUGGAAAAAUUAAAACUAAAAUAAAAAAUAUAUUCCUUCUCCAAAAACCUUGUGCUACUAAAAAGCCCAAGGAGAGCCCAGACCCAAGAAGGGAACUGAGAUAAGUCAAGGUCAUUCAAACAUCUACCCAGAAAGGAUGGUACAUGCCUCAAUCAUGCCACCUCUCUUUAAUCCUCCUCCUCCCCCAGCCCCACUGAAGUCUUCAUUGGAUUUAAAUCUUCAAGUAUCCUAAUUUCUCCUGGGAAAAUGGAAACUUCCUCAGAAUUGCCUCCAUGACUUUUCAUUCCCCAGAUGAAAGACAAUCUAAGUAGGAAAAUUCUUCCCUUUUCCAAGCCUGGUCUAUUAUCUCAUCAUCGAGGGAACCCAGGGCCUCCUCUGGGAGAAAAGCUCCAGGAGACUGCUUGUGCCUUUUGUGAAGGAUACGUCUCCCUUCACCAGUCUGUCACAGUUGGACUUCCCAACUGUUUUUCAGGGUUUGUAAGUUAUUCUGGAUCAGACCAGCGAUGAUGACAAAUGCCCAUGGCUCUGCAGAAUGCAAAGGAAACCCCAGUGACCAUGGAAUUCAGAGUUGGUAGGACCUUUGACAAUCCCCUUCGGAUGACUGAUGGGGAAACCAAAGCUAGAGGACCAAGCUAUGAUAAUCUGGUCGUCUGAUGACAAAUUCAGUAGUUGGUGCCUUUAGAUUUAGGCAAAAAGGUAACUGUGUCUUUCCCUGGAUUAUGACAGUAGCUCUUAUUUGUACCUCAUUAAGCUGAAAUCACCAUUUCCUUUGGCAUCCUGUCUCACAAAUAUGCUGCUCUUGUCUUUUCCAUCUGGGGAAUGGGAACAAGGUCCUUUGAACAUGGACAUCUUUGGAGGAAAACUUCAGUGUGACUAAGAGAUAAGGAGAUCCACAAGGAUAUACAGCAUCACUCUAGUGGCUUGUCACCUGAUGCCAUGGCUGUUCCCAACUGUCACUUCAAAGAACUGAACAGCAGUAAACUUGGCUUUUUCUAGGGAUUCCCCUCAUGCUAAGGCUCACAGCCCAGCAUCACUUACAACACAUAGACUAUGAUAUCUCUGUAUUGUGAGCAGAACCUUCUUAGGUUCUCUUGGCCAUCCCAGUUAUGCUUUUCUGGGUCUCAGUGGGCUUAAUACCACAUUGCUUUGACAUGGCCAAUGAAGGAAGCUAUUUUAUUACAAGGCCAUUUCCUUUUUCCCCCUUAAUGGUCAGAGCUGCAAAGAGAAUAUUAAUUGAUUAAAAAAAAUUACCUUCUGUCUUAGAAUCAAAACUGGGUAUUGGUUCUAAGGCAGAAGAACAGUAAGGUCUAGGCAUUGGGGGUUAAAGUGACUUGCCCAGGGUCACACAGCUGGGCAGUGUCUGAGGCUGGAUUUGAACCCAGGACCUCCCAUCUCUGGGCCUGACUCUCAAUCCACUGAGUCACCCAGUUGCCCCCUAGAAUAUUAAUUGAAAAAAGAAACUUGGAUGAAAAAUAAGACCACAUUGUGUUAUGAGACAGUCAGAAAGUCCACCAGUGCUCUUUCCAGCAAAUUAGGCCUUGACUUAUUUCACUGGAAUCAUCUCUGGGGAGGGGCAAACUUUUCUGCUUCAGGGGCUUUGUAACCUAAUUAAAAUGGGCUUUGCUAGUGAAUGCCUGAGCACUGGGGAGUGCUUCCUUUUUGUUCCAUCUUUCUCAUAAAACAGUUCCAAUCAGAACUGAGUUUUCUCAUAAAGAGACUUGGCCUACUCCAUUUGCAGAGGGAUGGCUGAAACAAGGUCUCCUGUUAUAACUUUGGCUAGCCAUAGAGCUGAUCUGGUGGCUGGAGUAAUGGGAGGAGCUCAGAUUCAAGGAUUGCAUGUCAGGUAAAUGUUCCAACUGCAUCUUUUCUCCCCAUAUUCCUAAGAGCAGAUUCCCCAUUCAAAAUAAGGGAAGUUGAGGCAGGCAUAUCGUAGGUGGGAAAAAUUGUUCCUGAAAUCUCUUCUGUCUUCCGUCCCGUCCACAGAAACUCAACUAACUCAGCCUGAAUGGGCUGCUUGUCUCUGGAUUCCUAAAUCCCUAAAUCCUGCUCUGCCCUCUCUAGUUCACCCAAUGGUAACAGACAUUUAUCCUACCUCUGGACUAUGAAAAUGAAACCGAGAUGUCCUUCUUUCCCUAGUUCCAACUCCAUUAUUUGGGCUAUUUUAUGACUUAUUACAUCUCUGCUCCCACAGCCUUAAAGAUUCUUUGGUCUUUGGCUGACAGCAAGUCACGAAUGAGGAAAACUCUCCAUAUACCGUUUUUAGAAGGAUGGAGGAAAAUUGAAAAACAGGAAGUUUGGAGAAAACAUGAGAACAAAAUAAGUGCAUUUGAGUGUAUACAUAUAUUAUCUACUCUUCUCUUCAUUCAUCUUUUAUCUUCCUAAUAGCAUAAUCUUCUUGGGGGCAGUUAGGUGGCUCAGUGGAUAGUGAGCCAGACUUGGAGUCGGGAAUACCUGGGCUCAAAUCUGGCCCUUUCUAGCUAUAUGACCCUGGGCAAGUCACUUAACUCCCACUGCCUAGCCUCUGCUUUGGAACCAAUACAUAGUAUUGAUUCCAUUAUUGAAUGUAAGAGUUUUUUUUUAAAAAAAAGUAUGUACCUCUUUUUUGAGAAUUUCAUUAAGCUUCUCUCAAGUAGCAAAUUAUCUAAUGCCUCUUAGAAAAUUAAUUUGUAGUAAUUUAAGAAUACAUAAAAGUGUAGAAUAGUUAAAAACUUAAAGCUGUAGGGUAAAUGGCCUAGGGAUAAAAUAAGCUGGGGCACCUGGGUGACUCAGUAGAUUGAGAGCCAGACCCAAGGACAGUAGGUCCUAGGUUCAAAUCUGACCUCAGAUGUUUCCUAGCUGUGUGAUCCUGGGUAAGUCACUUGACACCGCCCCCCCCCCCCCAUUGCCUAGCCUUUAUAACUCUUCUGUCUUAGAACCAAUACACACAGAAGAUAAGGGUUUAAAAAAAUAAAAUAAAAUAAGCUCUUAGUAUCUAAAUUGUUCUUCCCUUUGAAAUAGACUAAAGCCUAAAGAAACAGCCUAUGAUCAGAUUUUACUCAUGAUACAUUGGUGGUUUUAUUUUUCCAAGGGAAUGGCUUUAUGGUCUAGGGAACUGGUUCUCAAAAGUGUGGUCCAGUUAAGUGGUGAGUACCAGACUUGGACUGAGGAAGACCUGAAUUCAAAUCCUGCCCCAGACAUCUACUGUGACCCUGAGUAAAUCACUUGACCUCUCCCGGGCUCAGUUUCCUCAUUUGUAAAGUGAUUAUAAUAAAUAAGAUCUACCUUACCAAGUUUUGGUGAGAAUCACGAGAUAACAUAUGUGAAGCAUUAACUUUAGUGGUCUGCAGAUACAUAAAAUGUGGGCCAUAGAGUUUAUUUGAUCUUAUUUUAGGAUUUUUUCCCCUGUUUUAUAAAAUCUAACUGUUUUCUGGUCAUUGGAUGAAGAUGAUCUGGAAGGCUAAGUCUGAACAGUACAAGUGCCAGCUAAUAGGUCCAAACCCAGACUGGAAAGACUUUAGUUACGGGUUGGCUGUCUGUCUGUCACCUUUGGAGGACUAGUUUGGUUUGGUGAGUUCUGCUCACUCAUCUAGAGAAGGCUGACUGCCAGGUCAGAAUGAUCAUCUCCGAAGGUGUGGAAGGGUUGCUAUCUGGAGCAGCAGAGAGAAGAUCAGAGCUUCUGAAAUUAUGGAUCUCUCGAAGCCUAUUGUUCCAUCACUGACUUGAAUAUACAAAGUUUACAGACAUAAAUCUAGAGUUAGUGAUGUGAUGUGAAAAAUAGUUUUUAAAAGUCUCAGGCAUGAUACAAAAAUAUCCUAUUAUUAUGACUUGGACAAAAGAUCUAGUUACUUUUGGUGCUUUCUUUUCUUUUUAAAAUCCUGUCCUUCUGUCUUAAAAUUGGUAACUUGAAGUAUGGACUCCAAGGCAGAAAAACAGCAAGGGCUAGGCAAUGCGGUUAAAUGACUUGCCCAGGGUCACACAGCUAAGAAAUAUCUGAGGUCAAUUUUGGAUCCAGUCCUCCUGACUCCAGAUCUGGCACUCUAUCCACUGUGCUACUUAGCUGCCCCAGGUCAAGAGAUGCAUCUACUGAAAAGUUCCAAGAAUGACUUAAGUUAGGGUCCAAAAGUUCCUCUGGAAAGAGGAGCCUUCUAGAUUUGAUGACUAUUAGUAGUCUUGUUUUAUGUCUCUUCAUUUGUCAAUACCUUGGUUUACUAAGGUGCUGCACCUUUCCGUCCUUGUUUUACAAAGAGGUUAGAAGGUUAUUGGUAUAUCAAUAAGACUAGAUGAAGUUUCCCCAAGUAGAUACUUUGUAAAUGAGAUGUAUGAGAAAGUAUCUAGUUAUUGUCACAUAGUAGGCACUUUAUUUUUUAUUUAUUUAUUUUUUUAAACCCUUACCUUCCAUCUUGGAGUCAAUACUGUGUAUUGGCUCCAAGGCAGAAGAGUGGUAAGGGUAGGCAAUGGGGGUCAAGUGACUUGCCCAGGGUCACACAGCUAGGAAGUGGCUGAGGCCAGAUUUGAACCUAGGACCUCCCGUCUCUAGGCCUGGAGUAGGCACUUUAUUAAUGCCUGAUUGAGCAUCAUUUGAACUGUAGCUUCUAAUGUAUCUUAACUCCAAGUGUUGGGGUUGCUCUAUUGACUUGGCCAUUUUAUUAAAAAAAAAAAAGCACUUUGUGGUAUUUCUUCAAUUAAAUCCUCCUUGAAUCACGUACCAGGCCAUUUUCCCCAAAUUCUGCUGGGCACUGAGUUUCCUAUAUGAUGUGUUUCUGAGGGCUCUUUCAUUUGGGAAUACUUUACAAACUUUAGACCAAGGACAGUUAGCUGGUUCAAUGGAUGGAGAGUCAUGCUUAGAAAUAGGAGGUCCUGGGUUCAAAUUUGACUUCAGAUACUUCCUAGCUAUGUGACCCUGGGCAAGUCACUUAACCCCCACUUCCUAGCCCUUACCAAUCUUCUGUCUUAGGUCCACUACAUAGUAUUGAUGCUAAGAUGGAAAGUAAGGUUUGUUUGUUUUUUUAAAUACAACAAAACUUUAGACUACCAAUGAAGAAGCCAAGAGGGUAAGGGUUAUUUCCCACUCCAGUGGUAGUUAAGGACUGUUGGUGGGGUCCUUUGUUAUGAACUGACUUAAUAUGGGGGAAAGAGCCUUGGAGCCAGAUCUAGAUUCAAAUCCUACCCUUGAUGUGUAAGUUUAUGUGACCUUGGGUAAGUCAUUUGAGCUUCAAGUUUCCUGCUCUAUAAAAGGAGAAUAGACUAAGGAGGCAUUAGAUGAUUCUAGGCUAAUUUAAAGUAAGAUGUAUCCCUUCCUGAAUUACUACACUUAUUCCAGAACAUCUCCGGAACGAUCCAUUUGAAUUCUAUUCUCAUCUGACACUUUGGCUACUGUCCAAAAGGUGAGAAGAACCUCCCCUUUCCAUAGCCUCCUACGCUUUGCAAGUGAUUAAUCUAAACCAGAGUAAUUGAUUGCAGGCUCGCCUGCUCCCAUUCCCUGCCAAAAUAGCAGGAAGCUGUCUUAUGCUCCUUCUACAAUGGGCUUCUUCCUGUUGCUCCAAAAUGUCCCCACCUAGAGGCUGGUAUCAUUAUCUAGUCACAGUGAUGCUGCUAUUAGAGCAGCUGAGAGGGGUACGUGUCUGCUAUUCAAAAGUCCCUUUGGCUUCUCAGUUAUUUCCUCGGGCUCUUUAAUUGCUUCCCCUAGUAACCUGGAGGCCUUCUGAGCCUGUAAAUUAUUGAAGAACUUCUUAGGUGACAGAUAGACAGUCUUCCUCUGCUAUUCUUUAACACUAGGUCAUUUAUUACCAUUCACAACCUUAGGAGCCUUGAAAUCCUAGGAAGCACUCCAGAAAUCAUCACUUUUCCAAAAAGGAAAUUGAACUAAUUUAAUCUUUAAUAAACCAUAGUCAGCUAGUUUGUAGUUUCUCCCAGGUUUCUGGCUCUGCUCAUUGCCUCUCUUCUCUAUAAAGGAUGACACGGGCAGUAUCGGCAACCCAAAAUAGACUAGUUCAUGUUUAUACAGCACAUUGGGCAGGUUCUGCACAACACAGGACAACAAGUAUUAUCUGUUUGCAGAAGAAACCAAAGCUCGUAGAAGGGAAAUGAUUUCAUAGGUGGUAAGAACUGGGCUUCAGACUUUUAACUGUCAAACUGACCAUCCUAAAGCAUAGGUGUAGUGAUGGCUCUAUUACCUUUCUUCCAGGGUCAACUAUGAAAUCCUGAUUGGCUUUUAACUUGGCCCCUUCCUAUCACUCUGGUCUUCUUACACCUUACUCACCCCAAACACAUCCUAGGAUCUAGAGACAUCAGCCUCUUAGUUGUUUGUCACACAAGACACUUCAUUUUUCCACUCCAGGUAUGUUCCUUGCCUGUCCCUCAUCCCUAGCAUUCCUCCCUCUGCCUCCUGGCCUCCUGGGAUUCCUUCAUGCCCUUGACAAACUCCCACUUUCUAUAAAAUACCUUUUCUGAUCCCUCUUCAUGUUAGUACCUUUUCUGUGGAUUAUUUCCAAUUUAUCCUGCAUUUUAUUUAUACAGUCGUUUGCAUGUUGUUUCUCGGACAACUUGAACUCCUUGUGGCUACUGUCCUUUGCCUUUCUUUGUAUCCAUAGAGCUUAGCACAGUGCCUGAUGCUUAAGAAAUACUUCAAGUCAGCACUCUUUGUGCUACACCAAGCUCUCUCUUAGGCAGGUCCUACUCCCUAAUACCAGAUUCUCUCAAUCUUUUCCUAUUUUGUAUCCAUUUCACUGGGGAGCUGAAGAGGAGAAGUCAAAGGUUCCAAGAAGAGGAUGCUCAUUCCAAAUUGUCUGAAAGAGACAUAGCAUGAUUUCUUCUCCAUCACUGCUUUUUUUUUUUUAACACUUACCUUCUGCCUUGGAACCAAUACAAGGCAGAAGAUUGGUAAGGGCUAGGCAAUGGGGGUUAAGUAACUUGGCCAGGGUCACACAGCUGGGAAGUGUCUGAGGCCAAAUUUGAACCUAGGACCUCCCAUCUCUAGGCCUGACUCUCAAUCCCCUGAGCUACCCAGCUGCCUCCCAUCAUUGCUUUUGAACAAAAGUCCUCCAGGAUGAGGAUAUCAGUUCCUCUCUACCUCUCCCUUAACUAAAAAGGUCAUUGACUCACUCCAUUUAUUACUUUUAAAAAACUUUUAGCUUGGAAUUUUAUUGCGUCACUCAAAAGGUUGGUUCUCCUAUAAGAAAAAAACAACUGAACUUUUCCUACCAGAAUGAAACCAAAUCAUUACUAUUAAUCCUUGUCGACUUUUAUUGAGCCAAUAGAACAUUUAUCCAUCACUUAAAGCUGCUGAAAAAUCUAAUGACUAAUAUAACAUGUUCUGAAAUGGAGGAUGUAACAGGCAACAACACUACAGCUACAAAAAAAAUUGGCUUACAUAAGAUAAAUAUACAACUUGCUAGGAGGAGGAAUGAGGGGACGGGCAGGAUAGGGAAUUCCUAGAAAGACAAGCUUAUUUAAUUAGGGGGGAAAAGUCAUUUCCUUCUUCCACAGAAAAAGCAUCAAAUUCUUUCAUUUUCUCUUAACAAUCCUACAUUCCCAGGAAAAUGUUUUAAGUUAAAGGCUACUGAAACAACAAGCUCCUAGCACAAAUGAUGAAACUGAGAUGGAAAGUCAAAUUCAUACAAACACACUUUUGCAUAUUAUACAAACACACCUUUGAGACUCACAGAUUAAGAGAAAGGUUGAGAGUUUUUGUUAGACCAAAAGACAUUGGAUGAUUAGAAAAGCAAGUGUUGCACAUUUAGGCAAACACGAAAGGCAACCAAUGGCCAUUCACAUUCAUUGGCCGGAACAAUUCCCUUCUGUCAAAGGGAAUGUGGAGUGGAUCCUGUUCAUGCAGUUAGUGGGGUAUACAGCUAAAAUCCCUGUUCUUGACAUUAUUUGUUGAAAUCAAAUAUUUGUAGGUAGUCAUUCCUGAUGUUACCCUCUUUGCAUUUCAGACACAGUAGAAAGAAAACAGUGGAAUGUACAGCUUUUCAUCUCUAGAAUCCCAUUUUGUACGUGUAAAAGAAGGGAACAAAGCCUAAUUUUCAGUUGAUUCGUUUGGGAAAUUUCUAUAGCCAUGGGCAUUUUCUAUUUUUAUUGUCCCCGUUGCAAUCUCAUCCAUCAACUAAAAUGUGGUAUGAGAUUGAUAUUUUUACUUCCACGCUGUCAAUUUUUUUCAUCACUCUGCAUUCUUUCCUGAAGGCAAAAAUAGAAAGAGGCCACUUUGUUGUAUGGAAAAAGUCACUCUUGCAGCUUAAUGCUGAUGUGAUUAAAUGGGAGUUGAGGACUUACCUUCAGUUACGCUCAGUUCAUUUCUCAUAGAGGGUCACAUCUGUCCCCUACCCACAAUGAAAUGCUCUGAGAAAGUCAUCCCUAGUGUCUAGGGAAUGGGAUUUCGAAAACACAUUUCAACGGAAGACUCAAACCAUUAUACCCAGAUAGAUCAUCUCUCAGUGCAGUAGCUCUCAGAUCACAGGGAUGCCUGAUUUGAUUUCAUACUCUUAGGGCUUCUUUCUCCAAGUUCUACGGAAAGUACCCCUGUAGCUGCAUAUUAUAUAUUAUCCAACUAAAGGAGAAAUCCUCACUUGAGCCCUCACUCUAGGUCAGUGGUGUCACUCUAAUAGAAACAGGGCCACCAAGCAGAGCACAACAAUCACAUGUUGGCUUAGAAAACCAUACACAAAUAUGAUCUGCUUCUUAUUGUAUUUUACUUAUUCUGUUAAAUGCUAUCCAAUUCCAUUUUGAUCCAGUUUGGUCCUCACUCAGGAGCACUGUGGGGUCAUGUUUUUGAUACCCCUGCUCUGGAUGGCAAGAUAGAAUCAUCCAUGUGCUUUCAUUUAACCCACCCCUGGGAAAGGGCCAUUCACUGGUACUAUUCAAAUUAUUUAAUGAAGCGUUGACUUAUAAGAAUGCUGUUUUCAUUCAUUCUGGCACGGGCUGAUUUUUAAAAAAACAUUUAGGUUUGUUUCAUUUUGUGGCAAAUGGAGGAUUUUCUCUGCAAAAAGCUAGGCUGCCUGGAAAAAAUGUUCAUCAUCUUGCCACAAGGGGCCAGCUUUCCCUCACAUAAGCUCAGGAAAGUCAGAUUCCUAAAUCUCUUCACUGUAUCUCUUUUAAACGAGGAGGGGGCAGCUGAGUGGUUCAGUGGAUUGAGAGUCAGGCCUAGAGAUGGGAGAUCCUGGGUUCAAAUCUGGCCUCAGACACUUCCCAGCUGUGUGACCCUGGACAAGUCACUUAACCCCCAUUGCCUAGCCCUUACCACUCUUUUGCCUUGGAGCUUGACUCCAAGACGGAAGGUAAGGGUUUAAAAAAUAAUAAAAUAAAACAAGGGGGAGUUAUUGAAGAAUAUCAAUGUUUUGACUAACAAGCAGAAAGAUGUUUUAUGUGAUCCUUUUCAUGAAACAGAAAACUUGGAUCUGGUCUGAAGUAGAGCCCCUCAGAUAGUGUUCUCUGAUAACCUGACAAGGCCUCUGUCUCUCUUUUCUACUCUUACAGAGAUUACGUAAGUCAUGAUGCAGGAAUAGGGCAUAUUAGCAUAAGACACUGGACAAUGUUGUGCUUUCCUGGAUGGAUGCUCACCUAUAUUUAAACCUGUAGAGGACUUGCAAGAAAUGUAUAAUUAAUUUUUUAAAAUCAGCAACUAGAAACCAAGGGCAGAGAAAUGUGAUAUAUCAUGGAUGUUACAUAUGUAAUAUCAUAUAAAUUGUAGUUGACCUAAAAACACUAAAGAUUUUGCAUCUUUAAUAGUUCUUCUGAAUUUCAAAAAAUGCUUAAAAAUAAGCUUAAAUUUUUUUUCUUUUGAUAGUUGAUACUUUGGGGAUCUUAAACAAAUAAUUCAUUUGUUUCUUCAUUUUAUAGGUGGGUGGCUAGUGAAAGAAUGGAAUCAAAGGUUCACUUCUUUCUGUGAAAAAGCAAAGUAUUAGAGGCAGCAGUGCCAGGUCUGGAAUUGGGAGGCUGUUGGUUCAAAUCUGGCUUUGGAUACUUCCUAGCUGUGUGACCCUGGAUAAGAUACUUAAACUUAAUCACCUAGUCCUUGCCCCUCUUCUGUCUUAGAAUUGAUACCAAGACAAAGGUAUGGGUUUAAAAAAAAAAGAAAUGCAAAGUAUUAAUAGAUUGCACAUCACAAUUGAAUAAAGAUUUGGUUGGAGAAGGAAAAUGAGGUUCAAGGAUACCUUGCAAAGAUAAAUCCUGGGACACUGAUUGGUUGCUGGAUACUUGGCCCAGGGCACAACCAUCACCCAAUUGUGAUUUUUUUUUUAAACACAGCUGGAGAGGUUGUGUGGAAAGAGGGGCUGAACAGAGAAAUGCUUAAAUACUGACAGCCAUAUUUAAACAAUAUGGAUUUUAAAAUUGCAAAAGAAAAUAAGAGGGAGUAUGUUUUGCAAAGCAAAUAAAAGAGAAAAAUUUAAAUGCAAUUUUAAAAAAUCCCGCCAUGGGGAUAGUCUUCCUUUACAGAUGAUAAAUCUCUUGAAGACCUCUUUAAAUUCAAACAUUCUCUGGCUUAGGAAGCCCAUCGAGUUGGCCCCAAAUCUCUAAGCUGUGGCACUCAGAACAUAGAAUGAGCACUUUCCAAAGUAAAUAAGAGUAAAUGAGAUGAAAUGGGGGGGGGGGGGGGAGAAACACGCUGUACAAUGUACAAUCCAUUUUACAUGGUAUAAUAUGGAUUUUCCCUAACUUGUGCUCUUCAUUUCUAACAAAACAUCUUCCUCCAGCAGUCCUAGGGCUAAAAACAUUUUUCUUCUUGAAUAAAAGGUUUUUCUUCAGUCUACAAUUUAUACUGAAUUACGCUAUUGUUGGAAAAUCGAGUUCCAGACUGUCUAUGCCCUUGAAAUCAUGGUGGCCUCAGAUUACACUGAGAAGAGGGUUAACAGGAGUGCUGUCCAAUCCAAACACUUCUCUCUGGGUUAGUGAACUAAGUUUAGCAGAUUUGUGUUCCCUGAACAGAUGCCAAACUAUCAUAAAAUCUCCAAUCCAGCAUACCUCCUUCAGGCUCUGGCUUCAGGUCCCACAUCAGCUAAACAAAGGUUAGUGCUAGUGUUGGGUUACAUCUAGGCUACCAAGCUCACACUCCAAACAUGUCCUUUUGAAAAUACCCUCUUUCCAUGGAUCUACCUUGUCAAUGCCAUCAAGUCACCCAACUUCCAAAAUAUUUUGUGAUGCCCAGAAGCCAAGCAGCUUUUCAGUAUUCGUAUCAGUAUCAUAACUUGCUCUUUUCUCAAACUACCUCAAUAAUCCAUUGGUACACAUUUUAUAGUAGCAUAAAAAAGAAAAAACCCUCCAAUUUUGAUGACUGAAAAUGAUGGGAGCAGAACAAACAGUCCAAAAUAUAAGGAGGCCUUAAUGUAUCUGAGUUAUGGAUUUGGACCUGUCACAAGUCUAUGACCCCUUGGACUUCAGGGAAACUUUCCUCCUUAUCUUGACUCUCCAGAUUGGCCAGCAGAAGUCUGCCAUUUUCAUGGCUCCUACGAAUAAUAUUCUUUCUGACUAGUGGAAGAAGUAACCUUGGGUUUAGUCUACUGAGUUUCUUUUGAUUUUUUCUUUAUCUUACAUCAAGUGGCUUUUUCCCUCCCAAAAGAAGACUUAGUCAACCUCCAUAUUCCAUGGAAGGAAGAAGAUCUGAUGCAAAUUGGACUUUUUAUCAGUCUAAACAUUACUGUAGUUUCUCCUAUUGGAACACCUUUUUCCCUGAUCACUUCAGUUAGAGUGACGAUAGGUCUGUGACAUGCCCAGAUAACAUUACAGAAACUUGGAUGGAAUUGAGAAUGCCAUUCCAGCCAUGUGGGACAUAUGAAUGUGGAGGGGAAAAAAAAGAUUCAUGUGAAAUGGUCAGAAACAGAGAUCUUUGUGCCCUGUCCAAGUCAGAAAGGAUGUUUAAUCAUCUUUAUUGGGCAAAAAACUCCAAGGACUCCUACUCUAAACAAGCUUAAAUGUCUGUCUUUAUUAACUCCCAAGCCUAUAUAAUCUUGGGAACCGUUAAGUCAAAAGAAGUAAUAAGCCAUAAUGAUAGACCCACAUGCCUCAAGGUAUCCUUCAGAAUGUUUCCAUUCUUAGCACUUAAGACACUGAAAAUGUAAUUAAUAAGUACAUGUUGGGCAGCUUUCCUUACAUGUAUUCUGCUUCUCUGAGACAGUAAUGGCUUCUAUGCCUAUGGGAGACUAACUCCCAUCAAAUGGAAGAGAUAAAAGGGCAGCUAGGUGGCUCAGUGGAUGAAGAGCCAAGCCUGGAGCCAGGAAGACCUGGGUUCGAAUCUGACUUCAGAUACUUUGUAGCUGUGUAACCUCAGGGAAGUCAUUUAACCUCAGUUGCCUAGCCUGUACAGCUCCUUUGCCUUGGAACUUGUAUUGAUUCUAAGGCAGAAGGUAAGAUUUUUUUU